AUGCUGCUAAGGACAAUUUGCAACUGCAUCAAAACCUUUGCUGGAAGUAAGGGAAAACAAUGCUUGGUGAUGACAUGUGUCUCACCCCACAGCAAGAGCCGCAGUUCCACAGCCCAGUUCAACCUGUCCCCUGCUCUGCACAGGCUGGGCUCCCCAGCCCUGACCUACACAGUCCCCAGAGGGAAUGCUGCAGCGUCUCCUUGUGCAACUCUGGGGCACCUCUGCCACUGCUUCAAGUGGCCAGCCUGUGUGAUGGACAAGCAAAGGAUUUCCACAGAGCACCCUCCACAUCCAGGCACCUGCAGGUGGUGCCUAAAGAUGGGCACUGCAGGGAUUUGCUCUUCACUUUUCUUUUCAAUAAACUGUCUCCAAUAAUUGCCUUUGCUUUAGAGCUGAAGGCCUCUGGAGUACUGAACAACUGUUAUUUCUAGUACAAUGGGAUCGUUGCCUGUAAUGUUAUCCCUUAAUUGCUACUGUGGUGCAAAUUAUGAAAAGCAAGAAUAUCCAAAUAUAGAGACACUUGGCCCUUGUGACAGGAAAUUAAGGUCUCUUCUCUGGCACUGCUGCAUGUCCUGAACUCCCACUCAAGUCAAAAUGAAUUACAUACAUUCAAUAUUUUGAAAAACAAGCUCUUAACCUCUACAAAUGAGCUUGUAGAGUUCAUAUCAAGUGUGUUCUGGCUAUCCCUAUAAAUGUCCAAUCCUAUUUCAGAUCCUACUAAUCUCCUGGGCAUCCUUGUACCUUCACAGUUAAUGGCAAAAUUUGGCUGGAAAGGAGGAAGUGUAUCUAAAAAAAUAAUUAAUAACUCUGUGGAUGUAUUAUAUUUUGAAGUUUUAGUGGUUUGGAUUGAUUAAUUGGGUUUUUUAUGGUAAGAAAAAACAAGCAAAUGUUUCCAUAUCGUCCACAAUAUAAAAUCUCCUAUCUUUCUUCCUAUUUUUGACACUUUGAGAGUCUACCACUUUCAGCAUCUUGGAUAGAAGAUUUUCUGUACCUGUUCAUGCCUUACUCUGGCUAUACUCCUCGAAGCAGUAAUGACCACAACAAAGGCUUCUGAGAAUGAGUGUGUUAUCUCUACAGUGCCUUUUUAAUAUUUCAGGAAUUAAGAGCCUAAAUGUUUAAUCUCCACUGUGAAGUGUCUGAAAAGCAUGGUAUUGUCAAACAGAAGUGGUAAACUGCUGAGGAAAGUUCCAAUAUUUCUCUUACUGAUGUCAGUGGGAAUUUUGCCAGGAAGCUCAGCAUGAUAAGGGUAUAGACCAAAGUAAUCAGUUCUACAGAUGAUUACAUGAAAAGCUCUUCAUUAUAGCAUGAUGAUUGAGUAUUAUUGCAGUCAUGAGACACAGAUAUCUUCUGGAGCCAAAACCAAGAAAAAGAAUGUAUUAAGGCUAUUCCUCCUCCGAGUUGGGCCUGUUUGGCAGUGGCCUUUCAUCAGAUGACUUUUCACAGGUUAGCACAGCUACUUUGGUUUUAGCCACAGCUUGAUACGCACAGCAAAAUGAGCCCACAUUUCCUUCUCCACAGUUCCUCUCUGCUAAAGGUUUCUCAGCCCAUGAAAGCCAUGUCCUUUGGUAAGUAAAAUAUUUUUGGCAAACUCAGGAACAUUACACUUAAGUUGUCCAUCUUCUCACUUCAGUUCAAGUUCAGUCUUGCUCCACAGGUGCCUCUUCUCUUCCAGGCUGGAGAAGGGCACGUAGUUAACGCUCGUGUGUGAUGGCUGAUGCCUUGACGAAGGGACAAUGUGGCACAGACCCCCAGAGCCAAACACUCGCUUCUGCAGCCUCACCCAGCCUGCCCAGUGCCGGAGCCGAGAGCAGCAGGGAGCAGGAGCUCAUGGCCCUGACUGGGCACUGAGGGCACAGAUGAUGUGUGCAAGACAACGGGGCGCCCUUGCAAACGCAUUCAGGAUCUUCACGGUUCUUCAGAGAGCAUUUGUUAGGCAGAUACAUUGAUGUAGUUUUGAACAAUUCAUCCAAGAAAGUGAAGCUGCACAGUACCCUGCAAAAGCAAAGUCUGCAUGAAGAUGGGAAUAUACGAGAGUUCGUAUUAACUUUGGAUUAAAGUGUUUUAUUAUCACUUAUGUGUAAGGAGGUUAAUUUUCUCUCUAUUACUUGGGGGUCAAACAAAAGCCUGCGUUCCCUCAAAUCAGUCCUUUGUCAGCUUAGCAAAAUCUGUAUUAAUAAAGACAAAAUGUAAAUAUUUAUAAAACA
rnacentral:lncRNA from 1 species